GUGAAGAGAGUUAGGAAUUGUGUUUUUGGUUUAAUCAAGUUUAGGUAAUUGGAGUGUAUAUGUAGCAGUUAGUUUGUUUCUUAAUAAAAAAAAGUUUGGGUGAGUCUAAACGGUGCGUUUCAUUUUCAACUUAAGAGAAACUCAUAGACGCCCAAAGCACAGUUAGAAAUUUGAAAGAAGUGAGGGAGGCUUGCUGAGAGAGGGAGAGGAGACCAGAAAGAGAAGAUUUUCUGUGCAUAGCAGAGGCCAGAGAUUCAGAGGAACUCUAAUUCAGGGUAUAUUUGGACAGCAUGGUAAUGGCCCAGUUUGGGAGGCUACUUCUCUACGCACAAUGUAGUGGUGUUGAGCUAUUCAGCCAUUUUUGGAUGUUAAUAAUGACGAAGACAGCUUGGAGCAUGAUGGAGAUGGGCGGUGGCCCUUUGUAGUUUUUUUGAGCAACUCCUUGAUAUUUUUGAUCCAGGCAAGCGAUUUUUUGCCCCUUCUACCGUUUUGCUUUUGGUUGGGGUUGGGGA